ensembl:snoRNA
AUACUGUGAUGGUUGCAUAGUUCAGCAGAUUUAAGGCAUGAAGAAAUUUACCUUUUCUGAUGUAUCU